GAUGAACGCUGGCGGCGUGCUUAACACAUGCAAGUCGAACGAUGAAGCCCAGCUUUCUGGGUGGAUUAGUGGCGAACGGGUGAGUAACACGUGAGUAACCUGCCCUUUACUCUGUGAUAAGCCUUGGAAACUGUGUCUAAUACUGGAUAUGACUUCUCAUCGCAUGGUGUGGGGUUGGAAGAUUUAUCGGUCUUGGAUGGACUCGCGGCUUAUCAGCUUGUUGGUGAGGUAAUGGCUCACCAAGGCGCCGACGGGUAGCCGGCCUGAGAGGGUGACCGGCCACACUGGGACUGAGAUACGGCCCAGACUCCUACGGGAGGCAGCAGUGGGGAAUAUUGCACAAUGGGCGGAAGCCUGAUGCAGCAACGCCGCGUGAGGGAUGACGGCCUUCGGGUUGUAAACCUCUUUCAGUAGGGAAGAAGCGAGAGUGACGGUAACUGCAGAAGAAGCGCCGGCUAACUACGUG
rnacentral:rRNA from 1 species